rnacentral:rRNA from 1 species
UACGGGGGGAGCAAGCGUUGUUCGGAUUUACUGGGCGUAAAGGGCGCGUAGGCGGCCACCGCAAGUCGACUGUGAAAUCUCCGGGCUUAACCCGGAAAGGUCAGCCGAUACUGCGGGGCUAGAGUGCAGAAGGGGCAACUGGAAUUCUCGGUGUAGCGGUGAAAUGCGUAGAUAUCGAGAGGAACACCUGCGGUGUAGACGGCUUUCUGGACCAUUGUUGACGCUGAGACACGAAAGCGUGGGUAGCAAACAGG